AUUGAACGCUGGCGGCAUGCCUUACACAUGCAAGUCGAACGGUAACAGGUCUUCAGAUGCUGACGAGUGGCGAACGGGUGAGUAAUACAUCGGAACGUGCCCGAUCGUGGGGGAUAACGAAGCGAAAGCUUUGCUAAUACCGCAUAAGAUCUACGGAUGAAAGCAGGGGACCGCAAGGCCUUGCGCGAACGGAGCGGCCGAUGGCAGAUUAGGUAGUUGGUGGGAUAAAAGCUUACCAAGCCGACGAUCUGUAGCUGGUCUGAGAGGACGACCAGCCACACUGGGACUGAGACACGGCCCAGACUCCUACGGGAGGCAGCAGUGGGGAAUUUUGGACAAUGGGCGAAAGCCUGAUCCAGCCAUGCCGCGUGCAGGAUGAAGGCCCUCGGGUUGUAAACUGCUUUUGUACAGAACGAAAAGGCUCUGGUUAAUACCUGGGGCUCAUGACGGUACUGUAAGAAUAAGCACCGGCUAACUACGUGCCAGCAGCCGCCGUAACAC
rnacentral:rRNA from 1 species